rnacentral:lncRNA from 1 species
AUGUUGCCUCAUUUUUGCCUUUUUUCUCCUAGUUUUGGCUUGUUUUGCCUUGUUUGUGUCCCUUUGCAUCCCUCCUGUUUCCCCAGUUUUCCCCAUUUCUCCAUUUCUUCCGUUUUCCAUAAUUUCUCUCUCUCCCUAUUUCUUUUGGUUUUUUCCCUGGGUUUGCUCUGUCUCUAUUUCUCCCCCUCCCUCCAUUUUCCCCCAAUUCCUCCCCCUAAGUUUUCUCCUCUACUGUUUUCCCCUGGGUUUAGUCUGUUUCUGCCCCAUUUUACCCUUUCUUUUCCCGAUGUUCUCCUGGUUUUCUCCCCACUUUUUGCCCAUUUGUUCCCUAUUUCCCUAUAUUUUUGCCUUCCCUCCCAUUUUUCCCAUUUUUGCCCCUAUAUCUUCUCUUUCCCACCUGUUUCCCAUUUAUCCGUUUCCCCCCCAUUUUCUCCCAUCUUUCCCAUUGCCUACUCUUUGCCCCAUUUCUUCCUCCAUUCCCCCAUUUUACCAAUUUCCCCCUUUUUCCUAUCUUCUGAGGGAUUUUUUCACAUUUCCACCCUUUUUUGUUUUUUUGUUCUCCAUUUUUCUCGACCUCCUCCCAGUUUUGUCCCACUUCUUCUGCCAUUCCCCCCCAUUUUCCAUUUUCUCCUGAUCCCCUUUCUAUUUUCCCCUGUUCCUUCCACUUUUUCCCAUUCCCCACAUUUCUCUUUCCAUUGCCAGCACCAGCCAGCCCCCUUCCCUGUUCAGACACUCCACUGCAUGUAUGCAGCGUAUUUUCCCCCUCCCCCAUUGUGCACCAGUACACAGCAGUGCUUACUGGUGCCCCCCAGCAUUUCCCCCCAUCUCCCAGUGUGGCCCAGAGCCACCUCCUGCUUCCCAUCACAGCCCACAGCCCUCCUGUCUGGUAUGCAUCAGUGCCUCCCAGCACCUUCCCAGUAUGGCCCAGAGCCUCCCCAUGCCUGCCAGGAUGGGCCAGAGCCACAGAUGUAUGCCUCUCAGUAUGGGUCAGUGCCCUACCAGGUCUCCCAGCAUGAUCUGGGGGCCCACAGUGAUUCUUAG